YGGGGAAUUUUGCGCAAUGGGCGAAAGCCUGACGCAGUAACGCCGCGUGGAGGACGAAGGCCUUCGGGUUGUAAACUCCUGUCAGGGGGAAAGAAGGGCUUGAGGCUAGAAUAUAUCUUCGAGUUCUGACGGUACCCCCAAAGGAAGCCCCGGAUAAUUCCGUG
rnacentral:rRNA from 1 species